AAAAAAAGUAAGCUAUUCAUCUUUCCUUUGUUACUGAAAAGAUAAAAUAGUAAAACUACAAAUGAAAAAUAAAAAAAUAUAUUACUCACUCACAUCCCUAAGAGUUGAGUGAAAAGAAAAAAUGGAAUAUUUGUAAAAAAAGAUGUACUUUGUGGUCCUUCCUACAAUCUCUUAUUAGACUGUCAUAUAACAAGUUAGGACACACUCUUCACUUUCGAUGCCGCACAUACACUAUUUUUUGGCAAAUCCGACACACACCCUUGAUAUUUUUGAAGAGUCUCAAGCAACAUAGAUAAUAUAUAGCCUAAAAAACUCUCUCUCCGGUGGCAUAAACAUUCCAAAAGAUGGCUGUAACAAAGUAGAGGCAAGCAGUGAGAGUUAAA
rnacentral:misc_RNA from 1 species